rnacentral:tRNA from 1 species
UGCCCAGUAGCUCAGUGGUAGAGCAGGUGACUGUUAAUCACUUGGUCGCUGGUUCGAUCCCAGCCUGGGCAGCCA